UCGUGGGGGUUCAAGUCCCCCCGCUCCUAUGCCCUAAAUACAGUUGGGGUAUGAACUAAACCCAUGAAAUACCGCAUAGAAACA
rnacentral:tRNA from 1 species